rnacentral:lncRNA from 1 species
UUUUAUACUAUCCUUUGUCAGAUAUUGGUGUUGUGAAUAUUUUCUCCCAGAUUAUGGCUUGCUAUGGCAGUCAGCCCCCAAGAUGGACCCCAUUGAUUCUGGACUCCUGGUGCCAAAACCAUUGUACCCAGAUCAACUGCAAACAAGAACAGAGUUUUAAUGGAAAUUUUAAACAAGUAAGAUGAAAAUCCUGAAGCAUUUCUUUCAAGAAUUGUAACAGGAGAUGAAACAUGGCUUUACCAGUAUAAUCCCGAAGACAAAGUACAAUCAGAGCAAUGGCUACCAAGAGGUGGAAGUGGUCCAGUCAAAGCAAAAGCAGACCUGCCAAGAGCAAAGGUCGUGGGAAUAGUUUUUUGGGAUACUUAUUUUGCUUGUUGACUUUCUGAAGAGCCAAAGAACAAUAAUAUCUGCUUGUUUCAAGAGUGUUUUGAGAAAGUUUGCUAAAGCUUUAGCAGAAAAAUUCCUGGAAAAGCUUCACCAGUCUUUUUCUACCGCAACAAUGCUCCCACUCAUUCUUCUCAUCAAACAAGGGCAAUUUUACAAGACUUUCAAUGAGAAAUCAUUAGGCAUCGACCUUACAGUCCUAAUUUGGCUCUUUCUAACUUCUUUUUGUUUCCUAAUCUUAAAAAAUCUGCAAAGGGCUCCCAUUUUUCGUCAUUUAAUCAUGUAAAAAAGACAUGGUUAAAUUUCCAUGAAUCUCAAUUUUUUUAGGGAUGGAUUAAAUGACUGGUGUCAUCACUUACAACCAUGGUUGACCUCGAUGGAGC